rnacentral:rRNA from 1 species
GAAUAUUGGACAAUGGGGGAAACCCUGAUCCAGCCAUGCCGCGUGUGUGAAGAAGGUCUUCGGAUUGUAAAGCACUUUAAGUUGGGAGGAAGGGCGUCAAGCUAAUACCUUGAUGCUUUGACGUUACCAACAGAAUAAGCACCGGCUAACUCUGUGCCAGCAGCCGCGGUAAUACAGAGGGUGCAAGCGUUAAUCGGAAUUACUGGGCGUAAAGCGUGCGCAGGCGGUUAUAUAAGACAGAUGUGAAAUCCCCGGGCUCAACCUGGGAACUGCAUCCAAAACUGGCGAGCUAGAGUAGGGCAGAGGGUGGUGGAAUUUCCUGUGUAGCGGUGAAAUGCGUAGAUAUAGGAAGGAACACCAGUGGCGAAGGCGACCACCUGGGCUCAUACUGACACUGAGGUGCGAAAGCGUGGGGGGCAAACAG